GAAUUUAACUGAACAUCUGUCUCAACAGAAACCAUGUUGUCUGUAACUCUGCUGCUGCUGUUGGCAGCUGGAUCCUGUGUGAAGUGUGAACAGUUGACUCAGCCAGAAUCUGUGACUGUGCAGCCAGGUCAACGUCUCUCCAUCACCUGUCAGGUCUCUUAUUCUGUGAGCAGCUGGAGAACACACUGGAUCAGACAACCUGCAGGAAAAGCACUGGAAUGGAUCAGUAGUGCACGUGUUGGAUACACCUCAUACUAUAAAGAUUCACAAAAGAACAAGUUCAGUAUCAGUUUAGACUCUUCCAGCAAAACAGUGACUCUAAAUGGACAGAAUAUGCAGCCUGAAGACUCUGCUGUGUAUUACUGUGCCAGAUACACACAGUGA